AAGCGCAAGAGCAAGCGGACGAAGGCAUACACGCCAUCCGAGGACAAGCUCCUUUGUGAGUGUUGGAGAGACAUUGGGCAAGACCCCAAGGUCGGCGUCAAACAAAAGGCAUCGACCUUUUGGAUUCGUGUCCAUCGUGAGUUCCAUGAGCGCAAGAAGUUUGCGCCGUACCAAAUGCAUAACACGCGUGGGUGGGUGUCCAUUUCAAAGCGACGGAGGGUGAUACAACAACAGUGCAACAAGUUUUGUGCCACCCUUGAGAGCAUCAAGGCAUGCCCCGUGAGCGGCAUCAGCAUGCAAGAUAUGGUAUACAUGUGCCCCUCUUUGUUUUCAUUCCCCUUAUGCUUGCAUGUCCAUUUGCCCAUAUGCUUGCAUGCUAUUCAUCUGUAG
rnacentral:rRNA from 1 species